UGGGGAAUAUUGCACAAUGGGCGCAAGCCUGAUGCAGCCAUGCCGCGUGUGUGAAGAAGGCCUUCGGGUUGUAAAGCACUUUCAGCGAGGAGGAAGGUGGUGAACUUAAUACGUUCAUCAAUUGACGUUACUCGCAGAAGAAGCACCGGCUAACUCCGUGCCAGCAGCCGCGGUAAUACGGAGGGUGCAAGCGUUAAUCGGAAUUACUGGGCGUAAAGCGCACGCAGGCGGUUUGUUAAGUCAGAUGUGAAAUCCCCGGGCUCAACCUGGGAACUGCAUUUGAAACUGGCAAGCUAGAGUCUCGUAGAGGGGGGUAGAAUUCCAGGUGUAGCGGUGAAAUGCGUAGAGAUCUGGAGGAAUACCGGUGGCGAAGGCGGCCCCCCUGGACGAAGACUGACGCUCAGGUGCGAAAGCGUGGGAAGCAAACAGGAUUAGAUGCCCUGGUCAGUCCACGUGUAAAACGAUGUCGAUUUGGAGGUUGUGCCCUUGAGGCGUGGCUUCCGGAGCUAACGCGUUAAAUCGACCGCCUGGGGAGUACGGCCGCAAGGUUAAAACUCAAAAUGAAUUGACGGGGUCAUAGC
rnacentral:rRNA from 1 species